UGGGCAGCAAGGAGGGCAAUGAGGAGCCCAACCCUGAGGGAGAGGAGAAAGGAGUGAGGGAGCUGGGCAGGAAGAAGGAGGACCAGAGCCUGAAACUGUUUCCCUCUUAGGAGAGAAGUCCCAUUGGCCCAGUGGAACAGAGAGGACUGGAAAGUCUCAUUU